GGGAGCAAACAGAAUUAGAUACCCUGGUAGUCCACGCCGUAACCGAUGUCGACUAGCCGUUGGGAUCCUUGACAUCUUAGUGGCGCAGCUAACCCGAUAAGUAGUCCGCAUGGGGAGUACGGCCGCAAGGUUAAAACUCAAAUGAAUUGACGAGGGACCGCACAAUCGGUGGAGCAUGUGGUUUAAUUCCAAGCAACCGGAAGAACCUUACCUGCCCUUGACAUGAUAAGAACUUUCCAGAGAUGGACUGGUGCCUUCGGGAACUCAGACACAGGUGCUGCAUGGCUGUAGUCAGCUCGUGUCGUCAGAUGUUCGGUUCAGUCCAGUAACGAGCGCAACCCUUGUCCUUAGUUACCAGCACUUCGGGUGGGCCCUCUAAGGAGACUGCCGGUGACAAACCGGAGGAAGGUGGGGAUGACGUCAAGUCAUCAUGGCCCUUACAGACCAGGGCUACACACGUGCUACAAUGGUCGGCACAAAGGGUUGCCAAGCCGCAAGGUGGA
rnacentral:rRNA from 1 species